UACGUAGGGAGCGAGCGUUGUCCGGAUUUAUUGGGCGUAAAGAGCUCGUAGGCGGUUUGGUAAGUCGGGUGUGAAAGCUCCGGGCUCAACUCGGAGAGGUCACUCGAUACUGCCAUGACUGGAGUCCGGUAGGGGGGUGUGGAAUUCCCAGUGUAGCGGUGAAAUGCGUAGAUAUCGAGAGGAACACCUGCGGCGAAGGCGGGUAGCUGGGCCGACACUGACGCUGAGGCGCGAAAGCCAGGGGAGCGAACGGG
rnacentral:rRNA from 1 species